AGAUGUACUCAUCAAAUGAAAAACUCAAUCAAACUGGUUUGAAGUGGGCUCAGAGGUUUGCAGUGGAUGUGACUCUAGAUCUUGAUACAGCGCAUCCAUAUCUCAUCCUGUCUGAUGAUGGAAAACAAGUCAGUCAUGGAGAUAUCGUGCAGGACGCCCCCGAAAACCCAAAGAGAUUUGAUUAUGUUGUUUGUGUUCUGGCAAAGCAGGGAUUCAGUUCAGGCAGAUUUUACUAUGAGGUGCAGGUGAAGGGAAAGACUGAUUGGGAUUUUGGAGUGGCCAGAGAAUCCAUUAACAGGAAGGAGAUAAACACACUGACUCCAGAGAAUGGAUUCUGGGCUGUGGCUCUGAGGAAUGAGAAUCAGUAUAUAGCUUGUGAAAGUCCACCUGUCUCUUUAUCUCUGAGAGUGAAACCUGAGAUUGUGGGAGUGUUUGUGGAUUAUGAGGAGGGUCUGGUCUCUUUUUAUGAUGCGCGGCACAGAUCUCAUAUCUACUCUUUCACUGGUCAGACUUUCACUGAGAAACUCUAUCCAUAUUUUAGUCCAUACCUUAAUGAAGGAGGUAAAAACUCAAAACCACUGAUCAUUUCACCUGUCCGUUAAAAUGAACAAAUCUCCCAAAAUCUGAAACAUAAAAUUAUUAAUUAGAUAAAUUAUUAAUUAGAAUUAAUAAAAAAGGAGAAAAAAAGAAAGAAAUCCGCACACUGAUUGCUUAAAUUCUUUUAAAUGAUGAUUUAUGAUCAAAUAGACUACACUGGAAAAAAUAUCCACCUUAUUCUUCAACCCGAAAGGCAAAGGUACAAAGUAUGCAAAAAGAAGAUCAUAUUAGCAUUAUCAUUCAUCUCAAUGGCGUCACAAUAAUUCAAUGACACUACAAGAUCAGCUUCAAGUUGCUAUGAUGUUAAAGACAAAUAUGUAUUCGUUUCACGCUUUCAACCCAAUUCAACACCUCAGGGACUGUAAUAAUUUAAAAAUGCAAGCUCUUCUGAAGAUCUAGUGUUUUUUUUUUUUUUAUUGCACCUUAUAACAGUUCAGUGGCAUAUUAAAAGUGAUAAUUAGCUAAUAUUUUUGAGCUAUAGGAUUUUUUUUUUUUUUGUACAGCUUUGUCAUAAUUAUUCAACCUUUAUUCAGCUUUGCUCUCACAUGUAUGGUAAAAAUUGUGUUAAAACAAUUAAGCCUUUAGAAUCUUUAUAAAGGGCUUCUCAAAUACCCGAUCAAAUACCUUUUUCAAGACCUGACCAACACAAAUAAAAUUAAUACCACAUGUCGUUACUGAACAAACCCAAACAAUCUCAAAAUAAAUUAGCCAGCUCCAAUGCUUUUACUUAAUGAAACAGGCUGCAGCACACAUUCAUCUGCAAAACAGGGAAAUGCAAGCGUUUAAUUCAAUAUUUACAUAUGUAUUGGAAUUGGUUUAUGUUCUCAUAUAUCAAUACACACAAAGUAAAGGUCCAUCGAUACUGGAUUUUGCUGAUACGAUAAUGCAUUUUUUAAGAA